rnacentral:rRNA from 1 species
GACGAACGCUGGCGGCGUGCCUAAUACAUGCAAGUAGAACGCACAGGAUGCACCGUAGUUUACUACACCGUAUUCUGUGAGUUGCGAACGGGUGAGUAACGCGUAGGUAACCUGCCUGGUAGCGGGGGAUAACUAUUGGAAACGAUAGCUAAUACCGCAUAAGAGCAUUUACUGCAUGGUAGAUGUUUAAAAGGUGCAAAAGCAUCACUACCAGAUGGACCUGCGUUGUAUUAGCUAGUUGGUGAGGUAACGGCUCACCAAGGCAACGAUACAUAGCCGACCUGAGAGGGUGAUCGGCCACACUGGGACUGAGACACGGCCCAGACUCCUACGGGAGGCAGCAGUAGGGAAUCUUCGGCAAUGGGGGGAACCCUGACCGAGCAACGCCGCGUGAGUGAAGAAGGUUUUCGGAUCGUAAAGCUCUGUUGUUAAGGAAGAACGUGUGUGAGAGUGGAAAGUUCACACAGUGACGGACUAACCAGAAAGGACGC